UGGGGAAUAUUGGGCAAUGGGCGCAAGCCUGACCCAGCAACGCCGCGUGAAGGAAGAAGGCUUUCGGGUUGUAAACUUCUUUUCUCAGGGACGAAGCAAGUGACGGUACCUGAGGAAUAAGCCACGGCUAGCUACGUGCCAGCAGCCGCGGUAAUACGUAGGUGGCAAGCGUUAUCCGGAUUUACUGGGUGUAAAGGGCGUGUAGGCGGGAAAGCAAGUCAGAUGUGAAAACCAUGGGCUCAACCCAUGGCCUGCAUUUGAAACUGUUUUCUUGAGUACUGGAGAGGCAGACGGAAUUCCUAGUGUAGCGGUGAAAUGCGUAGAUAUUAGGAGGAACACCAGUGGCGAAGGCGGUCUGCUGGACAGCAACUGACGCUGAGGCGCGAAAGCGUGGGGAGCAAACAGGAUUAGAUACCC
rnacentral:rRNA from 1 species